rnacentral:rRNA from 1 species
ACUCCUACGGGAGGCAGCAGUGGGGAAUAUUGCACAAUGGGCGCAAGCCUGAUGCAGCCAUGCCGCGUGUAUGAAGAAGGCCUUCGGGUUGUAAAGUACUUUCAGCAGUGAGGAAGGUGGGUAUGUUAAUAGCAUAUUCAUUUGACGUUAGCUGCAGAAGAAGCACCGGCUAACUCCGUGCCAGCAGCCGCGGUAAUACGGAGGGUGCGAGCGUUAAUCGGAAUUACUGGGCGUAAAGCGCAUGCAGGUGGUUUGUUAAGUCAGAUGUGAAAGCCCGGGGCUCAACCUCGGAAUUGCAUUUGAAACUGGCAAACUAGAGUACUGUAGAGGGGGUAGAAUUUCAGGUGUAGCGGUGAAAUGCGUAGAGAUCUGAAGGAUACCGGUGGCGAAGGCGGCCCCUGGACAGAUACUGACACUCAGAUGCGAAAGCGUGGGAGCAAACAGGAUUAGAU